GUGCUCACUUUGGCAGCACAUAUACUAAAAUUGGGAUGAUAUUCAGUGAGAUUACAUGGCCCCUGCACAAGGAUGACACACAAAUUUGUAAAGCGUUACAUAUUUUU
rnacentral:snRNA from 1 species